rnacentral:rRNA from 1 species
GGGGGAAAAUUGUGAUUGCAGAAUUCAGUGAUCAUCGAAUCUUUGAACGCACAUUGCGCCCCCUGGUAUUCCGGGGGGCAUGCCUGUUCGAGCGUCAUUACAACCCUCAAGCUCUGCUUGGUAUUGGGUGUCACCCCCGGGUGCGCCUUAAAAUCAGUGGCGGUGCCGUCUGGCUUCAAGCGUAGUAAUACUUCUCGCUUUGGAGUCCGGGCGAGCGUCCUGCCAAAACCCCCAUAUUUUUUUAGGUUGACCUCGGAUCAGGUAGGGAUACCCGCUGAACUUAAGCAUAUCAAUAAGCGGAGGAAAAGAAACCAACAGGGAUUGCCUCAGUAACGGCGAGUGAAGCGGCAACAGCUCAAAUUUGAAAUCUGGCCCUUUCAGGGUCCGAGUUGUAAUUUGUAGAGGAUGUUUCGGGUGUGGCUCCGGUCUAAGUUCCUUGGAACAGGACGUCAUAGAGGGUGAGAAUCCCGUAUGUGACUGGUAGCCUAUGCCCAUGUGAAACUCCUUCGACGAGUCGAGUUGUUUGGGAAUGCAGCUCAAAAUGGGUGGUAAAUUUCAUCUAAAGCUAAAUAUUGGCCAGAGACCGAUAGCGCACAAGUAGAGUGAUCGAAAGAUGAAAAGCACUUUGGAAAGAGAGUUAAACAGUACGUGAAAUUGUUGAAAGGGAAGCGCUUGCAACCAGACUUGCAUGUAGCUGAUCAUCCGGUGUUCUCACCGGUGCACUCAGUUGCGUUCAGGCCAGCAUCGGUUUCGACGGUUGGAUAAAGGCCUUGGGAAUGUAGCUUCUUUCGGGGAGUGUUAUAGCCCAGGGUGCAAUGCAGCCUGUUGGGACCGAGGACCGCGCUUCGGCUAGGAUGCUGGCGUAAUGGUUGUAAGCGACCCGUCUUGAAACACGGACCAAGGAGUCUAACAUCUAUGCGAGUGUUUGGGUGUCAAACCCAUACGCGUAAUGAAAGUGAACGGAGGUGAGAACCCUUAAGGGUGCAUCAUCGACCGAUCCUGAUGUCUUCGGAUGGAUUUGAGUAAGAGCAUAGCUGUUGGGACCCGAAAGAUGGUGAACUAUGCCUGAAUAGGGUGAAGCCAGAGGAAACUCUGGUGGAGGCUCGCAGCGGUUCUGACGUGCAAAUCGAUCGUCAAAUUUGGGUAUAGGGGCGAAAGACUAAUCGAACCAUUGGAAUUCUACUAGGUGGUUAAGAGGCGUAUAAAAGGUGCGUCUAGUCCAGUGUAAUGGGCGAAAUCUCCAAAUUGCGGGGACAUCCUUAGAGCUUUUAGUACUAAGCCGGCACUCGAAAGAUGUCGGUGGCCAGGGUAAUGACCUCGGGUAUAGUAAAAACCUAAAAGAUUGGACGAUCCGCAGCCAAGCUCCUCUCGGGCAACCGAUUGCGAGAAGGUUCAUCGACUAGACGGAGGUUGGUGCUCUAAUCGUUAGAGUGCUUAAGGUAUAGUCAGUUCUACGGGAAACCGUACCAGACAGACAAAAGCACAUGUGUUUACACCUUGCUCCGCAAGCGCUGUGCCUCGAGCUGUCUGGCAGUAUAUCCCUUCACCGGGUGUGCUGGUGAGUGAUUGUAGCAUCAAUGGUGCUGCGUCACGAACAAAUGCUAGUAGCUGGUUCCUGCCGAAGUUUCCCUCAGGAUAGCAGUGUUGAAUUCAGUUUUAUGAGGUAAAGCGAAUGAUUAGAGGCCUUGGGGGUGAAACACCCUUAACCUAUUCUCAAACUUUAAAUAUGUAAGAAGUCCUUGUUACUUAAUUGAACGUGGACAUUCGAAUGUACCAACACUAGUGGGCCAUUUUUGGUAAGCAGAACUGGCGAUGCGGGAUGAACCGAACGUGAAGUUAAGGUGCCGGAAUAUACGCUCAUCAGACACCACAAAAGGUGUUAGUUCAUCUAGACAGCAGGACGGUGGCCAUGGAAGUCGGAAUCCGCUAAGGAGUGUGUAACAACUCACCUGCCGAAUGAACUAGCCCUGAAAAUGGAUGGCGCUUAAGCGUAUUACCCAUACUUCACCGCCAGGGUAGAAACGAUGCCCUGGCGAGUAGGCAGGCGUGGAGGUCAGUGACGAAGCCUUGGGAGUGAUCCCGGUAGACCCC